rnacentral:rRNA from 1 species
UGGUCAAGUUAUUAAGGGUGCAGGGCGGAUGCCUUGGCACUAGGAGCCGAUGAAGGACGUGAUAAGCUGCGAUAAGCUUCGGGGAGUUGCACGUAAACUUUGAUCCGAAGAUUUCCGAAUGAGGAAACUCACUUAGAGUAAUGUCUAAGUAUCAUUAAGUGAAUACAUAGCUUAAUGAGGGGAACUCAGGGAACUGAAACAUCUAAGUACCUGAAGGAAGAGAAAGAAAUUCGAUUCCGUAAGUAGCGGCGAGCGAACGCGGAUUAGCCCAAAC